GUUUAGUUGCUAGCAAUAACAUUUCUCUUUUCUAGCUAGCAAUUUUAAUCAUGUUAAUAACAUUAUAAAUAAACAUAUAUAUUAUAACAACAAUAUUCAAACAAAACAAAUUACAAAAUGUCCAAUACAUUAUUUAAAUGGACUGAAGUCAUAUUUGAUAUUGUAAAUCAUACAUUCUGUGAAAAAAUAAUAUAACAUAACUGAACCCCACCUUUUGAACCGCCAAAGUACGUCUUUGCAUAUUUUACCUAUAUAUAUCUUUUUCCCAAAACAAGAACCUAUUAUACAACUUCUCUCACUAACCAUUUUUGAACUUAUAAAUACUACUGUGGAUUCAUUUAUUUUCGUGGGCACCAAUUUUCGUGGAUUACGAAAACUUGCAUGUUCGUGGAUAUUAAAUUUCGUGGUUUUGCCGAAGUCUGCAUAUAAGCCUAUAGAAAAUUUGUUAUUCGUUGAACAUUUAAUUUCGUGGUUCACCUGUAUCCACGAAAGCCACGAAAAUUUGUAUCCAACGAAUAAUAAUGAAUCCACAGUAUAACAAUAACACAGGGAAAACCCAAAGUCUCGACAAAAAGAAAUUUAAUUUUUUCCUGCAAGAUGACAAACAGUAAAGUGACAAUUCAACAUUCAAAACAUAUUUGCCUGUUAACAAUAAAAAUACAAGACAAC
rnacentral:lncRNA from 1 species